AUUGAACGCUGGCGGCAGGCUUAACACAUGCAAGUCGAGCGGGGUGAUGGUGCUUGCACUAUCACUUAGCGGCGGACGGGUGAGUAAUGCUUAGGAAUCUGCCUAUUAGUGGGGGACAACAUCCCGAAAGGGAUGCUAAUACCGCAUACGUCCUACGGGAGAAAGCAGGGGAUAACUUGUGACCUUGCGCUAAUAGAUGAGCAUAAGUCGGAUUAGGUAGUUGGUGGGGUAAAGGCCUACCAAGGCGACGAUCUGUAGCGGGUCUGAGAGGAUGAUCCGCCACACUGGGACUGAGACACGGCCCAGACUCCUACGGGAGGCAGCAGUGGGGAAUAUUGGACAAUGGGGGAACCCUGAUCCAGCCAUGCCGCGUGUGUGAAGAAGGCCUUAUGGUUGUAAAGCACUUUAAGCGAGGAGGAGGCUCUUUUGGUUAAUACCCAAGAUGAGCGGACGUUACUCGCAGAAUAAGCACCGGCUAACUCUGUGCCAGCCGCCGCGGUAA
rnacentral:rRNA from 1 species